rnacentral:sRNA from 1 species
GCAGAAUCGUGAUUGAAUAACCUGAAGG